UGGGGAAUUUUGGACAAUGGGGGAAACCCUGAUCCAGCAACGCUGCGUGGAGGACGAAGGUCUAUUGAUCGUAAACUCCUUUUGCAGGGGACGAAUGUACGGAGCAAUCCGUAUUUGACGGUACUCUGCGAAUAAGCCACGGCUAACUAUGUGCCAGCAGCCGCGGUAAGACAUAGGUGGCAAGCGUUACUCGGAAUUACUAGGCGUAAAGCGCGUGCAGGCGGAUGCUUAAGUCCGUAGUUUAAUCUCCCGGCUCAACCGGGAAAGGUCUGCGGAUACUGGGCGUCUGGAGUGGGACAGAGGAAGCUGGAAUUCCCGGUGUAGCGGUGAAAUGCGUAGAUAUCGGGAAGAACACCGGCGGCGAAGGCGGGCUUCUGGGUCCUCACUGACGCUGAGACGCGAAAGCUAGGGGAGCAAACA
rnacentral:rRNA from 1 species